rnacentral:rRNA from 1 species
UACGUAGGGCGCGAGCGUUGUCCGGAUUUAUUGGGCGUAAAGAGCUCGUAGGCGGCUUGUUGCGUCGGCUGUGAAAACCCAUGGCUCAACCGUGGGCUUGCAGCCGAUACGGGCAGGCUAGAGUUCGGUAGGGGAGACUGGAAUUCCUGGUGUAGCGGUGAAAUGCGCAGAUAUCAGGAGGAACACCGGUGGCGAAGGCGGGUCUCUGGGCCGAUACUGACGCUGAGGAGCGAAAGCGUGGGGAGCGAACAGG